rnacentral:rRNA from 1 species
UACGUAGGGUGCAAGCGUUGUCCGGAAUUAUUGGGCGUAAAGAGCUCGUAGGCGGUUUGUCGCGUCGGGAGUGAAAACCUCGGGCUUAACUCGGGGCUUGCUUUCGAUACGGGCAGACUAGAGGUAUGCAGGGGAGAACGGAAUUCCUGGUGUAGCGGUGAAAUGCGCAGAUAUCAGGAGGAACACCGGUGGCGAAGGCGGUUCUCUGGGCAUGAUCUGACGCUGAGGAGC